GGGAAGGGAAGAAAAAAUAAGAUAAAAACAGAGAGGGUGACAAACCAUAAGAAACUCUUAAAUACAGAGAACAACCUGGGGGUUGCUGCUGGGGUGUUGGGUGCACGGGGGAUGGGCUAAAUGGGUGAUAGGAGGGCACUUGUCAUGAGCAUUGGGUGUUAUAGGUAGGUGAUGAAUCACUUAAAUUCUACUCCGGAAACCAACAUUACACUAUAUGUUAACUAACUAGAAUUUAAACAGAAACUUGAAACAAAAGAA